rnacentral:rRNA from 1 species
UACGGGGGGAGCAAGCGUUGUUCGGAUUCACUGGGCGUAAAGGGUGCGUAGGUGGUGAGGUAAGUCGGAUGUGAAAUCUCCGGGCUCAACCCGGAAAUGGCAUUGGAAACUACCUUGCUGGAGGAUUUGAGGGGGGAUUGGAAUACUUGGUGUAGCAGUGAAAUGCGUAGAUAUCAAGUGGAACACCAGUGGCGAAGGCGAAUCCCUGGAAAAUACCUGACACUGAGGCACGAAAGCUAGGGGAGCAAACAGG